rnacentral:rRNA from 1 species
UACGUAGGGUGCGAGCGUUGUCCGGAAUUACUGGGCGUAAAGAGCUCGUAGGUGGUUUGUCGCGUUGUUCGUGAAAACUCACAGCUCAACUGUGGGCGUGCGGGCGAUACGGGCAGACUGGAGUACUGCAGGGGAGACUGGAAUUCCUGGUGUAGCGGUGGAAUGCGCAGAUAUCAGGAGGAACACCGAUGGCGAAGGCAGGUCUCUGGGCCACUACUGACGCUGAGAAGCGAAAGCGUGGGGAGCGAACAGG